GGUAUUAGGUUGGUUGUGUU
rnacentral:siRNA from 1 species